rnacentral:sRNA from 1 species
CACUCAACUACGGGAGUUUAGGACCUUCUGAUAGGCAUGCGUUAUAUUCAUUGGUUUGAUGUGACAGGAUUGAACUUGGAUGAUCAUGGAAAUAGAAGGCCAUGGUGGUCAGCUAGAGCAGCGGACAGAUAUGUUAGAAACAUGAAAUGCUUAGAAGACCAGCUCGCUAACUACCUCGUCAAAGAAGCAAAUAUGACAGUAAAAAACUUAAUUAAUCAAUUAGCUUCAUCAUAUGAUAUUGGAGCCUUGAAACAAGCCUUUCAAG